GUCAAUUCAUCAGUCACAUGACUCUGUCAAACAUAUAAGCGUAGACAUCAGGGCCUCACGGUCCUGUGCAUAUUUGAGACAAUUCCUUAUCUCACUUGUAAUGAUCCUUCCGCAGGUUCACCUACGGAAA
rnacentral:misc_RNA from 1 species